AGGCAGACGCAGCUCCACGGUUCCUGCUGUGUGAGCUGCACAACUGACUGAUAAUAUAUAUCUGGCAGCAGAAGUCCCCAAACCACUGAGUGCAGUCACACAGAUUUGUCUAUUGACAUCCAUCAAAUCAAAUCCAUUUUUAAGGUCUCAAAGAAGGAAGACGCAGCCAACGUUGUUAAUGAAGUUAUGAAACAAGUCGCCAUAUUUAGCUACUGCCGCCACCGAGUGCUCGGGUACAAACCGGAAGACGUGGAGAAGAUAAUGGGAAUUGUAUAUGGCCACACUGGGCUGCUACCAGACUGUAGCUGUAAGAAAUAAUGGAUUCAGAACCUUCUACUUCGUCCUCUACAGCUACAAGUGGUGUAAGUUUGAGGCAGAAAGACAAGAUUUUUCUGAUUGGAUAUACUGUAUGUCCCAUCAAAUUACUGGCAGUAAGUUGCCAUCCAAUGGUCAAGUUUUACGCAAUUUGUUUUAAAAUAAUUGCCAAGUUAAACUAGAAACCAGAGAUGCUGCAUGGCUCACAAUCUAGGAAGUUCUACUUUUUUGGCAAAAAGCUAAGAUACUUACCAACAAUUUGAAAGAUUGUAUUGCGAAGCUUGAAAAACUUCACGAGGAGUGGAGAAAACACGCAACCAGAAGUGUAAGUCAAGCUCAAAGUAAGUAAGUGGAAGCUUUUAAGUCAAGCCUUGAUGACCUGUUUGAUAUUGCACACCAGGACGUGCUGAAGAACACAAAUGAAGAAGAAAGACAAUUUUUGCUCCUUCAGAGACAAAAGGGUCGUACUGGCUGCAUGGGAGGAGUUGAUAUAAAAUUCCUAUGAGCAGAAGAACGAAGAACACAGAGAAAAGCAGCUAAGAUGGUCAGACUGGAAAAAACAAAACUGAAGCCUGUAGAAUAUGAAGUUGCAGAAAUGGAAAUUUUAAGCACAAGCAGUGCCUUAGAAGAAGCACUUAUAGCUGUAGAGGAUGAAGUAGAAGGUUCUGAAUCCAUUAUUUCUUACAGCUCUGGAAAACAAGAAAUAUAAUAUUUAUAAAAUAUAUACAUUUAAAAAACUUAUAUUGAAACAUUACUUUGAUGGGUUUGAAUGCAAAGUAUUCAAAGAACAACAAAAGCAUCGUAAAAAAUAAUUUUAUCAAGUUUAUAGCGAAUUUUAACAUUCUCUUGAAAAAGUCGAAUUUUUAGGUCCGGUCCACGAAAAACCCAUAUAUCUUUCAAUCUGUACGUUUGUCAAACAAGUUGUGGAAGUGAAAAUUGAAGCCAGGAACAUUCUCUACUGAACAAAAAAACAACAACACAUUCCUAGGAUAAACGGUUCUAAUUUUAUAGCAGAAACCCCCCCGAUUUUUUUUGAAAAAUAGCUGUUUUUUAAUACUUUAGGGUUGAUGAGGCAUGUCUUAAUGUUAUCCGAUUGAGCUGAAACUUUGACAAUCUAAUUUUUACACCAAGUGGCA